GGCAGGAGACUCGCUUGAGCCCAGGAGUUGGAGGUUGCUGUGAGCUAUAAAGCCACGGCACUCUACCCAGGGUGACAGCUUGAGGCUCUGUCCCAAAAAAAAAAAAAAAAAAAGAGAAGAUCUCAUUAUGUUGCCCUUGGUAGAGUGCUAUGGCAUCACAGCUCACAGCAACCUCAAACCCUUGGGCUUAAGCAAUUCUCUUGCCUUAGCCUCCCAAGUAGCUGGGACUACAGGCACCCGCCACAACACCCAGC
rnacentral:sRNA from 1 species